CUCGGGUCCGGCAGGCAUUGUAGGUGGGGGGAGUGAAUGUACAGCGCUCUCUCCCACCUUCAAUACCACGCCUGAGGUGCCCUUGAGCAAGGCACCGAACCCCCAACUGCUCCCUGG